AGUGAAUAGAUACCCGGGUAGUCCACGCCCUAAACGAUGUCAACUAGGUGUUGGGUGGGUAAAACCAAUUUAGUACCGUAGCUAAACGCGUGAAAGUUGACCGCCUGGGGAGGUACGGCCGCAAGGUUAAAACUCAAAGGAAUUGACGGGGACCCGCACAAGCGGUGGAUGAUGUGGAUUAAUUCGAUGCAACGCGAAAAACCUUAACCUACCCUUGACAUGCCCGGAACUUGCCAGAGAUGGCUUGGUGCCCGAAAGGGAGCCGGGACACAGGUGCUGCAUGGCUGUCGUCAGCUCGUGUCGUGAGAUGUUGGGUUAAGUCCCGCAACGAGCGCAACCCUUGUCGUUAAUUGCCAUCAUUUGGUUGGGCACUUUAACGAGACUGCCGGUGACAAACCGGAGGAAGGUGGGGAUGACGUCAAGUCCUCAUGGCCCUUAUGGGUAGGGCUUCACACGUCAUACAAUGGUCGGUACAGAGGGUUGCCAAGCCGCGAGGCGGAGCCAAUCCCAGAAAGCCGAUCGUAGUCCGGAUUGCAGGCUGCAACUCGCCUGC
rnacentral:rRNA from 1 species